UGUCUAGCAGUGGAAUUCUGCCUGAGU
rnacentral:piRNA from 1 species